rnacentral:rRNA from 1 species
UACGUAGGGGGCAAGCGUUGUCCGGAUUUAUUGGGCGUAAAGAGCGUGUAGGCGGCCAUACAGGUCAGCUGUGAAAACUCGAGGCUCAACCUCGAGACGUCGGUUGAAACCGUAUGGCUAGAGUCCGGAAGAGGAGAGUGGAAUUCCCGGUGUAGCGGUGAAAUGCGCAGAUAUCGGGAAGAACACCCGUGGCGAAGGCGGCUCUCUGGGCAUUAACUGACGCUGAGGAGCGAAAGCAUGGGGAGCGAACAGG